GAUGAACGCUGGCGGCGUGCCUAAUACAUGCAAGUCGAGCGAACAGAUGAGGAGCUUGCUCCUCUGACGUUAGUGGCGGACGGGUGAGUAACACGUGGAUAACCUACCUAUAAGACUGGGAUAACUUCGGGAAACCGGAGCUAAUACCGGAUAAUAUAUUGAACCGCAUGGUUCAAUAGUGAAAGACGGUUUUGCUGUCACUUAUAGAUGGAUCCGCGCCGCAUUAGCUAGUUGGUAAGGUAACGGCUUACCAAGGCAACGAUGCGUAGCCGACCUGAGAGGGUGAUCGGCCACACUGGAACUGAGACACGGUCCAGACUCCUACGGGAGGCAGCAGUAGGGAAUCUUCCGCAAUGGGCGAAAGCCUGACGGAGCAACGCCGCGUGAGUGAUGAAGGUCUUCGGAUCGUAAAACUCUGUUAUUAGGGAAGAACAAAUGUGUAAGUAACUAUGCACGUCUUGACGGUACCUAAUCAGAAAGCCACGGCUAGCUACGUG
rnacentral:rRNA from 1 species